rnacentral:SRP_RNA from 1 species
UGUUGGUUCUCCCGCAACGCUCUCUGUUUACCAGGUCAGGUCCGGAAGGAAGCAGCCAAGGCAGAUGACGCGUGUGCCGGGAUGUAGCUGGCAGGG